rnacentral:rRNA from 1 species
UACGUAGGGUGCAAGCGUUGUCCGGAAUUAUUGGGCGUAAAGAGCUUGUAGGCGGUUUGUCGCGUCUGCUGUGAAAUUUCGGGGCUCAACCCCCGAACUUGCAGUGGGUACGGGCAGACUAGAGUGUGGUAGGGGAGACUGGAAUUCCUGGUGUAGCGGUGAAAUGCGCAGAUAUCGGGAGGAACACCCGUAGCGAAGGCGGCACUCUGGGCCGGUACUGACGCUGAGGAGCGAAAGCGUGGGGAGCAAACAGG